rnacentral:rRNA from 1 species
GACGAACGCUGGCGGCGUGCUUAACACAUGCAAGUCGUACGGUAAGGCCCUUUCGGGGGUACACGAGUGGCGAACGGGUGAGUAACACGUGAGUAACCUGCCCACAACUUUGGGAUAACGCUAGGAAACUGGUGCUAAUACUGGAUAUGUGCUCCUGCUGCAUGGUGGGGGUUGGAAAGCUCCGGCGGUUGUGGAUGGACUCGCGGCCUAUCAGCUUGUUGGUGGGGUAGUGGCCUACCAAGGCGGCGACGGGUAGGCGGCCUGGGAGGGUGACCGGCCACAUUGGGACUGAGAUACGGCCCAGACUCCUACGGGAGGCAGCAGGGGGGAAUAUUGCACAAUGGGCGCAAGCCUGAUGCAGCAACGCCGCGUGCGGGAUGACGGCCUUCGGGUUGGAAACCGCUUUCAGCAGGGACGAAGCUUUUUGUGACGGUACCUGCAGAAGAAGCACCGGCUAACUACGUG